rnacentral:lncRNA from 1 species
CAUCAUCAUCAUUCAAUUUUUCAGCCUCAUAAAUUUUAGUAUCAUCAUUUCCAGUUAACACAUUUGUAUCUCUGCUUGUUAUGAUAAUUCUGCUCCCUGGACCAAACCAUCCAGGCUCCUCAGCCAAGAAUUCUAGUUGUUCUUUGUCAUCUACAUCAUCAAGGAUAAGAAGAAUCUUUUUAAGUCGUAACCUCCGCUUUAUCAUCUCAAUCCCUCUAGAAGAAUCACAUAGAAGCACGUUCCAUUAAGAUUUCAGAAAGAAGUUGUUCCUGCAAACGACGUUGUCCAUCUUCCCUAGCAAAAACUUCUCUGACACUUGCUAAGAAGCAGCUGCCUUCAAAUUGCCAACGAAUCCUAUCAUAUACUACCCUUGCAACAGUCGUCUUACCUAUGCCACCCAUUCCACAAAUCCCUAUGAAGAUUGUUUUGCCUACUUCUUCACCUAUAUAGCCAUUUAAUACCUCUACACGAUAAUCUAUUCCAACUAAUUUUUUGCUAAUUGUUGGCAGAGUGAUGCUUAGUUUGUACGAUAUGUAUUCAACAAUUAUUUUAAUUGAUUCCGAUUCAUUCCUGCAUAGAGGGUGCAAAACAUUAAUCAUGCAGUGUGCAGAAAUCAAAUCAGAUAGUGAUAAUGGGAAGAUAAACAUUAGCAUAUUGUAGCUCGAAAAUGUAUGGUUGUUAGCCGAAAAUUAAUACACCAACCUUUGAGAAAGAUAGGGCCCUGAUAAUAGAUAGCUUCAAGAACAUAGAGGAAAAGGAAAGAAUAAACUGAAAAAGGAACUAUGAUUGUAUUGAUGCUAAGAAUGAUUCGUACAAUAGUUAUCUUAUUGCCUAUAGAAUCACACAGUUACUAUAGAAGCAUGCAUACAAGAACAAAAGGUAGGAAAUAAAAUAUCCAUUAAGUUUGGUUUUAACAUACCAAAAGGCAAAAGGAGUUCUAUCAUAUUUUUUGUCGACCACUAAGUUGUUUUUAUAAUUAUUUUUAACAAAAAAUUAAAUUAUUUAGCAUAAUUAACUUUUAAAAAAACAACUUUAAUUUUUUUAAUUUUUGAGUUUUUUUCUAUAUUAGCAUAGCCCAAAGAACAUUUCCCAAACUAACAUAUGCUUCUCACAACUCAAAUUUUCACAACGCAUUUCUUCGUCUUUCUUCUCUAUUUAAUCUUUUAUUUGGUCUUUCAAUUUUUAUACAAUCUUAAUAUUAAUUUCAAUAUAAUGAUCAUUUCAUUAAUAUAAACUUAUUUUUAUUUAAGUUGGGAAAAAACAUAACAAUAUUUUAGGCAAAAAUUAACUCGUUUUUAGCAAUUGCAUUUGAAAUAAAUAUUAACUUUAAUUCAUAUAUUUUUUGUGUGCAAAAGAAUAGAUGAAAUGAUCGUAAUAAUGGAACUAAAGUUAACUAAAUAUAAAAAUUGAGGGACCAACCCAACAAAGAAAGAAAGCAAGAUUUUUUUGACAUGCGAGACCUGCAUGUGUCAAGUUGUGUUAGUGAUGCCUAUGCUAGUUUGAAAAGUUUUUUCCCACCUAUAGUAUUUUGAGAAAUAAUUUUUUUCAUGGGAAAAAAUUCAUGUAGCUUUUAUGUCAUACCUUAAAAACGGAACCAUAGAAGAUACUAAUGAUAAGUUGCCACUUGUUGAAAACUUCACUUUAAUGUGUAGUUCUUUAACUAGAUUUUUGGCCUCAAGUGUUCGAUUAUUUUUUUCUAACCCUUAAAAAAUAUAAUAAUAUUUGAAAGUAAAAAAUUCAAUACAAGCUAGAAAAACACUUUUAAAAUAUUAAGAUAAUAAUAUAUUAGACGAUAUAUUUAUUUAAAAAUAUAAUUGUGACGACAACACACUAGAUCGACUUAGAGUAACUAUGAUUAACUUGUGAAACUCGCGAUCCGAAGCACAUUUUGGUGAAAACUCCAUGGAACCCAUAUCAAAAUAAAAUAAGCCCAAUUUCAAUCAGCCAAAUAUGAAAAGCUAAACAUAAAAAAAAAUUAUUCAAUUAAAAAAAGGAUUUUUUAAAAAAUAAGAGCUAGAUUUAACAAAGAAUGAGAAAUAAAAAGACUUAAGAUAACCUCGGUUAUUUUUAAAAUUAUUUAAAAAUCUUAUACAAAACAAAUAAAAAAAUUUAAUAGAGCCUAGUCUCUAAUUAAAUUAAAUAUUGAAUAAUAAAACUGAAAAACAAACAUGAGCUUCAAAAAAAGAAACCUAGACAAAUCUCCUAAACCUAGGUUAGUACUGUCCCAAAUUCUCAAUCCGUUAAAUCCUAAAUCCAGACUCAACCAAAAAGCUUAAUUCAAUGUUAAAGUAUGAAAUCAGAAAUAAUCUAUAUAUAUAUAUAUAUAUAUAUAUAUAUAUAUACCAAUUUUAAAAAAAUUUGCCAAGGUAAAAAAACAUAACAAUAAAAAAUGAAGGAUGAAAUCACCAAUAAAAUAAAAUAAAAAUAAUCUCACAUAAAAUAAAUAGUAAUCAAAAGAAUGAGAAUCAACUCUAAUAGAUUAAAAAAUUAAAAAGUAUAAAAUUAAUAGCAAAUUUCAAUUCUAAAAAAUAAUUCAAAUAAAAAAAUAUCAACUCAAAAAAAAUAGAACAAAUAUGGGAAAAACAAAACCAAAUUGAAGGGUUACUAUAAAAGUUUAGAAGGUCGGGUGCAUAAUUUGAGGAUAAAGACAAAAGAAAAGAAAGUCAUGUGGUGCCAAACCAAAAAAAAUUACUCCACACAUGCCACUCAGGGAGGCAGGUCACAUCAUGGUGAAUCAAAAAACAUCAAUGAAGGCCUUUUUUGGGUGUCAUAAGACAUUGCUCAUGCUACUUAAAUAAGACAAAACAACUUACUAGCUUGUGUGUUCUACAAACAAGCCAACCACUUUUUUUUUAUCACAAAAAAGCAUGAAUAAGCCCUUGAAGACAAGGUAAGUAUUUUUAAUUUUAAAGGAAAUGAAGUUAUUUUAUUGCACCAUGAAAAGUGAAAAAUCUUAAAAGAGCCCCUAUAGCUAAUUUAUUUAUUCUUUCUUUUAAAGAUAACUAAGUAAUUAUACCAUAAAAAAAAUGCCUAACUACCCCUAUCAAUUCUAUAAUGACUAUUGGCCCUUAUAAAAAGACCUUAUUGUUCCUAAUAAGUAGUUUAUUUUGUUUAGAAUGAAAAAUUAGUAAAUUCAUUGUUACACUCCAUUAGUAAAAGAAAGACACCUAUCAAAUUUUAAUUUCAAAUAGAAAAAUAAAAAUAUUCACAAAAAAAUUAAAAAUAAAUUUAUCUCUUUGAUUUAUAAAUAGUUUGAAUUUUUUAAUUCAAGAUGGAAAAUCUUUUUAUUUUAUUUUGAAAAGCUAAAACCAACAUAUUCAAAAAUUUUGGUCAAUUUUUUAUUUCUUAUGAUGAAUUUGUUGUCAUUUCUUCACAAUUUUUACUUUUUUAAGCUAACUUUUUAUUUGUUCAUGCUAGAUUUGUUUUUCAACAUUUUUAUACAUUUUAAUUUUUUUGCUUAAUAUUUAUUUUAUUUUCAAAAUAUAAAGAAAAACCUAAGAAUAGAAAGAAGUUAUAUAUAGAGAUUAGAAAUGCUUGAUCACAUCAGUUCAAAAUAUCAUUAAAAAAAAAAACAUGCAUAUGAAAAAAAUACACAUUUACUAUCAUGCUUGUUCAUCAAUGAAACAAUACAGGGCAGAUUUGAGAAUAAGAAUAAGUAGAUAGACGAUUUACCUAUUCCGGACGUCCCAGCCAGAUAGAUUGGCCACCGUAGAGAGACAAUCUUUCCAUUUCCGGACCUUCUCCAAGUUUUCCUUGAAAUUUUGUUCAUGCUCACCGAAGGCUUCCUCGUAUUUCCGUUUCCGCUCGGUUACCUCUGAGGGAUCCACAUCAUAAAAAACUGGCAGAACAGUUUGCCCCAUCUCUUUCAUGCACUGAACAAUCUUGACAAGUUCAUCCAAGCACCAUGGUGACGAUGCGUAAUCUCUUGAAAAUAUAAUGACAGAAAACCUUGAUUCUUCGAUGGCCUUCCAGAGAGCAGGUUCGAUGGUCUUUCCUCUCUCGAGCUCCCUAUCAUCCAUGUAUACAUCGAUGCCUCUCUGUUUCAGAUUAGAAUAUAGAUGACUAAUAAAGUUGUCCCGGGUGUCUUUGCCUCUAAAACUAAGGAACACAUCAUAAAUAUAUAGUGGAGGAGGAGGAGAUGAAGAUGAGGUUAUUCCUUUGACGCUGGUGGAAGCCAUGAAAAUUCCUAUAGCGAUAAACUAGUAAGGCCUGCUCCUGUGGUCAAACAUGAAACAGAAGGUGAGAUCAAGAAAUUUGGCAAUUAAAUCUACCAAAUAGCAAUUUCAAGCUGGAACAUGUAUAAUUCUACUUAGAAAUCAGAAAACACCAAAUUUCUACGAGUAUUUCACGAAUCUAGACCAAACAAACCGUGUGGUAAGUGUUGGCUAAAGAGGCACAAGAUCCAGCCAAGCCCAAUAUUUUUUCUUCUUCUGGUAUCUUAGUAACCAACUUCCAAAGCCCUUUUCUUUCUUUUUAUUUCAAUGACUUCGAAUUUAUUUCCGGUUUCUUGAGGUCAAGAACUCGUACCGGUAAGUUUCCAAUGAUUUUCUUACGGAUCUUUUUCUUACACUGUAAAAAACAGAAAGAGAAAUGAAAGGGAUAUCGAACGCGCAUUGGGCAGCAGAGUGGACCCAUCACAAUUGAGUGAUUCAUAUUUUUUAAUGAAUUAUCAAGUCCAUAUUAUUUAACAUAAAUAUUUUUGCAUUCCAAGAACUUUCCAGAUGUGGGCAGCAAAGGCACCUUCCUGUCAAGAGCAGGGGUUGAGACACACACAUCACAGUUGAAAAGUAUUUUUUAAUGAAUUUUCAAACUAAUAACUACAAAACUCUUACAUUAAAUAUUAUAAAUUCCCAUUGAUUUUUUUUUAAAAUAAACUUAGCCACCACCCGAUGAACUGGAACUAAUUAACGAAAAAACAAAUCAUAUUAAAUUGAGUUUAGAAUCUCCACUUUUUUUUUUCCCUAAACUUUUUUAAAAAAGUUUUAUCGGCUUUUAAUCUCACAAUUCAAUCCAAAUUUAUGAUGUGUUAUUUUUUUCAAUUUAAUCCUUAUUAUUUUUUUAUUUUUGUUUUUGUUCAAGUUAUUUUUCUUUUCAGUUAACUCUUCAAUUGAAAAAAUUUAGUUAUACUCUAAUUUAUUUUUUAUUUUAUUUUUGAUUCUUGUUUUUUUAAUUAUUAUUUUUUUAAUUUUUAAAAUACUAGUGCUCGUAUAACAAAACUGAAUCCAACCUCUUGGAUAAUGUAGCCACCAUAGCUUGAACGUCCAAUAAUGAAAAUUCUUAACGCCGCUAUCCAUUAAUGAAUCCCAGCCACUCAUCUCCCGACACUUUCUACCCAUAAUUAAGAUAGCAUAGACGAAGACUCCAAGAGAUAAUCCAAUAUUUCUUCUACCGUACGUUCCUCAACUUUAAUGUCCGAGGCUGAACGUGUCCACAAAAACUCACAAGGAGGAAGAGAACCAACCAUCAGCGGCGUCACCCUCUUCGCGACCUUUAUUUCCGUUGGCUCUAGAAUAAUUUUUUGAUUUUUGUCUUUCUGCACAACCUUUUUUUUACUGCAAGAUUACAUAAAAAAUAUACAUUCAUGGCAUAAUUAUAUAACCAUUAAUUAUUUUUUUAAUUAAUUUUUUUUAUGACUCUCAUAACUUUUUUUCUUCAAAAAAUAAACAUUCGGAUAAAUAAAUAAAUAAAUUUAAAAAAAUCACAAUAAUAGGAUAAAGAGGAUUUAAUUGAGAAUAUGUUUUUUUAUGGUUAUUUCAAAUCUUUGGGGUCUAUUGGAUAUUUAGUAUGCUUUUAAUAUUGUGGUACAAAGUUCUUUUUAAAACUGAUUUUUUUUUUAAUGUAUAAAAAUAUAUUUUUAGAUUUUUUAUACAAGCACAUCAAAAAAUACUAAAAAAACAUUAAUUUGAUAUUUUAAUAAAACAAACAUAUUUUUAAAACAUAUUCAAACAUAAAGUAGAAACACAAUAUCAAACACAAACAUAUUUUUGGUUGACAAUUAAAAAGAAAAAGGAUACUAGGAAAUUAUUUUAUGUUGAUAGAACUUAAAUUGUUAAUUUUUUUGGCUACAAGAAAUCAUAUAUUUUGAACCGUAUAUAUCACCUAGUUUCUAGAUUUAUUGUUUGAUUUGCAUUUUAACAUUUUUUUAUUGUAUAUAAUUCUGAUUGCUUUGAUUAAAAACAUGCAUCAAUUCUUUUUAUUCAUAAAAAAAAAAAUUUCUUCAACUUAAAAAAAGUUGACAGUGCUCACACUUUUUCUUUUUCUUUUUCCAUUGAAAAGUAACUUUUAAUCCGAUCCGCAACAAGAACUAGACAAGGACACGUUAUUUAUUGGAAGAACACGUGGUGCUAUGUUUUCUCGAGAAUGCUUCGAUAGUCAGAAAAUCAAGGGCCACCACCCAUGUGCAUCCUAACACCUUUUUUCUUCAGUAAAAACAAAUCCUCAAACUCGUCCUAAUAUCUUCUGGAGACCUACUUCUAACUUCAAAAUCUAUUACAAUCCAAUUUAAUCGGUCUGAAAUUGAAAUCAAUGUUCUGAAAAAAAAUAUAUGAUCUAGGCUUCGAUCUAUCUAUAGUAAAACAUCAUGGUCUUUUAUUUCUUUAUUAAUUCUAAUAAUAAUAAUAAUGUUUUUAUUAUUAAUUUUUAAUAUACUAGCUAGUGCUUGUAUAACAAAACUGAAUCCAACCUCUUGGAUAAUGUAGCUAGCCACCAUAGCUUGAACACUAAGUUCAAACCCAAUAUUUGUUUAUUCUUCUGAUAUUAACUGAAUCUAAUUAACGAAAAACAAAAAGAAAUUCAUAUUAAAUUGAGUUUAGAAUCUCAAAUUUUAAUAUUUUUUUAACAAACAGUCCAACUUAGAUUUUCUCCGAUAAAAAAAAACACCAGUUCUUCUCGCAUUGCUAGCAUACCAUCUUAAACCUAUGAUUAAGGGAGAUUAAAAAUGUGGUAGUACUUAAUUUUUUUAAAUAAUUUAUUUAAAAAUAUAUUAAAAUAUUUUUUAUUAUUUUUUAAAAAUUAUUUUUAGUAUAUACGUAUCAAAACAAUUCAACAACAUAAAAAAAAAAAUUCAAACGGGUCAUGAACUGCUUUCCCAGCCAAAUUUUUUGGAUAUUGAUUAUAAUCUUUUGCUUUUAAAUAUUAUGCUGUGUGAAAAUAAAUCUCUUUAAGCACACUGCUACACAAAUCAUUCGGUUUAGAGCAUCUUCAAAGAAAAAUGCUAUAUUAGAAGAGCAAAAUAGAUAAAAUAUCUUUUUAAAUAGUGUAAAUAUAGUUUUUUUGAUUAUAUGUAUUCCAAUGAUAAAAAACUAUUUAGAAAAGCCAAUUAUAUUUUAAUAUAUUUCAUGUUAAAUUAAUUUUAAUAUAAUUAUAUAACUAAUUUAGAUAUUUUAUAUAUAAUAUAAUUAUGAUGUUAUUAAUUAUAUAAUUAAUAUGAGUAAUUUAUAAAAGUAAUAUAAAAUUAACGAGUAGAAUCAUUAGAUUUGAACUUCUUAUGUCAUUAUAAGUUUCAAGUUUUUUAUGUUUUUUUUUUUCAUUAUGGUUGUUAUCUUUUAAGUUAAUUAAUCCUACUUAUUGUUGUUAAGUGUUAGAAGAACCUCAAAAAAAUAUUAUGAAUUGAUAUCACUUUUAUAACAAUAUAUUUAAAAUAACCAAGAAAUUUUAACAUAUAUAAUUAAAAAUACAUUACAUUAAACAAUAAAUCAAUCUAGCUAAUUAAAAAUUAAAACUCCUCUUUUGCAUAAUUUCUAACUUUUUAUUUUGAAAAUAUGCUGCAGAAAUUGGAUCCAAAUUAGAAAUAUCCAUUUUCAUAAUUUGUUCUUCUUUCUCAAUCCUGUCCAAUUCUUGUUUCUCUUGACUUUGUUGAAUCAUUAUAGCUUGUUGCUCUAACAUAAUUUUUCUGUCUUGUUUCUUUUGAUCCUCAAUUUCAACUAGAGUAUUCUUGAAUUGUUGUAAGAGAUUUGUUACAGUUACCUCCCCAACUUUAUCUUUUCCUUGUUUACGUUUAAGUCGUUCCUUUGCAGCCUUCUGACCAAUUAGUCUAUCUUAAUAAAUCAACGGUUCACUGUCUUCUCCUAAACUAACAGAAUCAGGAGUAGAUGAAGCUGAUGAAGCCGGAUUUGCAUUGACAUGACUUUUUUGUUUCUUGUUUGACCUUUGAUGUUGACUUGCAUACUCAAAUUGCCAUUUGAGUUUUUUUCUUAAGAUAACCCAACAAUGUUCUAGUUGAAAUUGUUUGCCAAUGCAAGAAGCAUACAUUUGUCGAGCAUCAUUAAUCUGGUAAAAAAUUAGAGAAAUUAAAUAAUGUUAAAAUAUAUGUUAAACAAUUUAAUAUUAAAAUGAAUAUUAAAAAUUACCCUUGAUUCUUUGGUCAUUCCACUUUGCUAACGAUUUUCAAUUUAAGUAACAAAUCCAACAAAUUUACCGUCUUCCCUAUUUAUUUCUUGCCAUCUACUUGAGAUGCUUAUUUGGGAAUGAUUAUUCAAGUUUCCUCCAUUCUCUACAACGUAAGCAUGUACUCGAGCCCAUAACUGUUUUGUUUGUUGUUCAACUCCUGUAAUUGGAUCCUUGCUUGUAUUUAGCCAUGCAGAGACAAGUAAACAAUCUUUCUAUGGUGAUAAGUUUUUACUUCUUUGUGAUUUUUUUGCCGAAUGUACAUUUAAAUUCGAGUAUGUUAAGUCAUCAAUUAAUUGAUUAGAAUCACUUGGUUGAGAGAGAAUAUCUUCUGACUCACUCAUAAGAAAGUUGGUAAAAGAGCUUGGAAAAUUUGAAUCCAUCUACAUUAAAAAAAAAAAAAAAAAAAACUCAAGUUAAAACAGACAAUAAAAAAUAAAUUUUAAAUAUGUCACUCUAUAUUUUUAUCAAUAUCAACUACCAUUAUUAUUCUCUCAAUUUUGUUAAAGAUAACAACAUAAAUAAAAAUUGUCUUCAUUAACCCAUAUAAAAAACAUAAAAUAACAAAGAAAUAAAAAUCAACACAAAUAUCAAAUUAACAACAAAAAAUCUAAAAAAUCAACACAAAUAUCAAAUUAACAGCUUGAUAAGACCUGAAAAAAGCAAAGGGAUAAUUUGAUAUUUAGGAUAAUCUAAUUAAAGGAUGUUUACUUUCAAAAAUAAAAAUGAGAUGAAACAAUUACUAUAGAAUAAUAAAUAAUGACAGGAAUAUAAAAAUAAUGACUAGUCCCUGACUUGAUGUAGUUCAAUCGGUUUUAGAAUUUUAAAAUUGAUAUUGAAUCGAACCAAAUUUUUGUAUCAGAAGCUAAGCUGGUAAAAUCUACACAUGUGAUAGCAUGUGAAGGUAUACAAAAUUAUCAAUAUGAGAUUUUGUUCAAAGAACAUCACAUGUUAGUACCAAAAGAUGAUUUAGCUCAAACAAUAAAAUAUGCAUCAAUAACCAUGCAAUGCAUCUAAUAUGUACAGACCUCAAAAACUGGUUGUAGCUGCUUCCUAGGUGCCCUCUUAACUGCUUCACGUUGCUGUUUAGCACCAUGUAUCCGCAUGACAUAGGAUGGUAAGAACAUGUCAUAACUCCAAAGGGCAUUGAGGUUAUGCUCGACACGAGUAAGACAGAGGUAAAUAUCACAAGCUAUGACACAAUUAUCUAAGAAGAGCUUAGAACACACCAAAAAGCUAUAUAAAUGUCAGGUCCUGAUUUGUUACUAGAAGCAAUAGUGGUGUUAAGAGUUGCAACAACUACAUGGGAACCAGAAUCCAACCACAAACUCAUUAAAUUCCAGAUUAAAGUAGAGCAUGUAUGAAGAAUUUGUAUCUUCCAAAUUUGUAUACGAGGAUCUAAAAUUAAUUUUAGUGGGGACUAUGCUAAUGUGCCUCCUGCAACUUGCAUGAUGAUUGAGUGAAAGAGCCAAGACCAACUAUAAACUUGCUAGUAAACAAAGUGCUCUUUCCCCAACGCCAAUUCAUGAAAUGGUUUUCGUCUGAUGCUCAAUCUGAUCAAAUUAAGAUAUUCAGAGUGCAAUCACUGGUUUAUAUCUUUUGUUUUUGUAGAUAGAAAGUGUGUCCAGGAAUCUCAGUCCUAAUGGGCAAUUUACAACCAAAGCGCUAGGGAGCUUAUCAGAUUUAAAGGCAAUAGGUUGAAUGGUAGAAGCUGCCAUAGAGGCCUCUUCAUAUUCCAAAGCAUGUGUAGUUUUUCCAAUGAGGAUUGUGAUCACCAAUUCAUGAAAAAAUUAACCAAAGUCCAUGAAAAACAUAUCCUAACUAACUUGCCAAACAAUAAGGUUCAAAAAUCUCAGUUUGACUGCAGAGAUCCGUCUGCGCCAUUUCUCCCAUGUAAUCAUCUGUUGUCUCCUUGCACUUCUGGCAUAUUUGAAAGUUAAAAUAAAUACUAGCCUUAUAUGAAUCAUCACCUAAAGAAACUAAACUACUUCAAUCAAGUUCUCUAUGUACUAUCCUAAUCCUUAAUUAACUACGUGUCUGACUUCACAUGAAAACACCAACAUUGGCAUAUAAGGAAUCACCAUGUGCCUAGCCUGUUUGGAGAAACAAUAUUUUUAUUUCUUGUGCAAGAAAAAAGAAUGAAAGACAAACAUCUGCAACUUAAGAGGCACCAUGGAAAUUGCCUACAAAUCUUAUAUGUUUCAGCUCUAAAAUCUAGAAACUAAACUAUCUGCUGUGAAAGUAUAUGGAACCCGACACUGUUCAUGUCAUAAAGGAUGAUAAAAUAUGAAAACUAGAUAUCACUAGAAGAACAAAAUUUGACAGGGUUACUCACAGUUUUCUCUAGGCCUUUGAGGACUAGUGGGUCACAUUGAAUUACACCAUAUUUUGUUUGUAAGAGCAAUUCAAUUAGACCGCUUCCAAGCUGCAAAGUGCAAGGACAGAAAUCAAAUACGUACACGAUGCAUUUGUUCAAGAAAAUUAGCCUUUAUCAAUGAUUACAAGCACACAAACCUUAGCCCUAGCGUCUGCAUUCCAUGGUUUUGAAUCAUCCUUCCCCUUCACAAUAAUCAAAUCAGUAACCUUUUUUCUUAGGUUUUCUUGUUCCUUCAUGACAGCAGGGGAUUCACCUUCUACACCAUUCUUGCUAUCAUUAGCCUUUUCCUUUUUCUUCCUUGUUUUCUCCAAGGUAUUGUGUAUUCUAAUCUGUUUCAUCACAGAAACUGUUACAGAUUCAGUCCUCAGUUCAAAGAAAGAGAACAAGACUGAAGAGUUGGGAGUUCCAAAAAAUGGAUUAAGAAUGGUACGCCUAAAUAUCUCUUCAUUGUAUAGUUCUUUUUUAAAAAGAAAAAAAGGAAAAGAAAUGAGGAAGCAACUCCCAUAGUCAGAAGAGACAGUAGAGCAAAGUGUCACACGUGCCUUUAACGUCUAAACGAAGAGAAAAACUUGAACAACUUACAAAACAAAGGCACAAACAAGAACACACAUAAUUGAAAUGAUAAAGAUAAUUGUUGUCCCCAACAGGGAAAUGCAAAAGUAUAAAUCCAUAGUGAAACAAUGUCGAAACAUGAGAUGAGCUCUGACAAAGGAAAGUUGAAUGUCACUCUUAUGAGUCCACCAUGUCCAUGCUUUGAAGAAAUUGUAGCUCAAAAAAGAAAGGCGUAAUAGAAUAUUCACCUUAAUAAGGCCCGUGAUAUGAAAUGUUUGAUACAUAAUGACAAAAUUGUAAAAACUUGGUAUCUAAAGGAUCUUACACUACAUUGUUUUUCCUACCUGCAUUUAGUGUCCUCCCUGGAACUAUGAACAGCAGAAGAACUUGGACUGAGAGUAAAAACUAUAGAUAUAUAAGAAAGAAAUCCAGAAAAACCCCAUUCAACUUUCGACAAAACUUUACGGAACGUAACUUCAAAAUCUAAUUUUCCAGGCACUACUAGCUCCAUAGCUGAUUUUUAUCUCAUAAUUGUACGUAGUAACUUUCAUCUUUCUUCCUAGUUCAUCACCUCGGAUGAAGGUUGUCUAAAAGUAAAUUUAAGAAACUUUAUGUUUUCCCUUAUCUUUCAAUAUUUUUAUACGGGCACUCAUUAUCCUCCGUCUACAAAUCAAACCGCAAGUAAAAAUAAGCAAAUAAAACAUUAAAAAUUACACUCACAUACCCUCUUGGACAAAAUCCAGCACACCGAUUCCCAUUAGUACUUUCACUAUUUCUCAAAAAAAUAGAACCGGGUUUUCCCAUAAAAUCUUCAUGGGUUGAUAUUUCGCCAAUUGCUCGAAAACUCAGUCGUGGACUUGUGUUAUUAAGCGAAUGGAACUUGAGUUUCUCAAAAAAGAUGGGUUCUUUAGAGGCUCCUAAAAAGCUGUAAGUUCUUGGAAAUGAAGGGAAAUUGAGGGACUUUGAUUGGGAUUUCAAAGUGGCUUGUUUUGCGACGUUUCUCCACAUAACUGUGGAUGGUUUAGAGAUAGAAUUGUGGGUUUCUUAUCAAAAUCAAAAGAUCAAAAUUUUUGGUAGAAAAUAUAUGGGAGUUGGUCCUCCAAUUAAAGGAAAUGAAAAAAGAAGAAGAAAUGGAAUUAGAAAUGGAAUUGAAAUGAUUGAGAGAUGAAUUGAAAUGCGCGGGUAAUGCAACUUGAGAAAAGAAAUGAGUUCAUAGAGAGGGUAUGUAUGGUAGUGGUAUUAGCAUACCGGCCGCCCUAAACCCUGCAUAAACCUUCUUUGGGGUUUUUGGCUAAAUCGUCUUGUUUGUUUCUCUCUUUUCAGUUUUCACUACUUGUGUUGCCAUGAAUCUAGUUGCAUAAUCUCAAAAGUUUCUUGCAAGUCCUGGGUGGAUUCUUAAGAGAAAGUUGGGCCAAUUUGAAAUAACAAAGAAAAAUAAUUUUGGCAUAUAAUUUUAUUAAUCUUUGUUGUUUGUAAUUUGCAGAGCAUAAUUAGGAAUGUAGAAUUAAAUUUUAUUAUUUUUGUCUCGAACGAAGCAAGUCCAAUUUUGGAGUAAGUGAUUAUAUAUAUUAAUAUUUAUGUGUUUAUAUAGUUGUAAUAUAAAGCUAUUAAUAAUAAAAAUUGUUGGUGUAUCAAAGAGAAAAGUAUGUGUUUAUAUAGUUGUAAAUGUAAUUAAAGAUAUUUUGAAUUUAUAUUUACAUGUAUGUUGUGUUUGUUUAGUAAAAAAAAUAAAAAUAUAUUUAACUAAAAAAUAAAAGGAAAUAUAUGAAAUCCAAAACAUAAAUUAUAUGUCCAUAUAUUUUUUCUGUUUUUGUUGUUUUUAUCUUUUUUAUUUUAAAAUAAUAAUAAUCAAACACCAUUUUUUAUUGGAGCAAUCCAACCACAAAUAUAGAGUUGCAAGAUUUAUGUUAAUUCAAGAAUAACUGAGAAUUUGGCAAAUUGAAUCUAAUAUUUCAGGGUUUUGACAGCAGCUAAAAUUACUAACUUGUUCACCAAAGAUAUACCUAAAAUUACUACCAGCAAACUUUAAUUUCCAAUAUUUCGGGGUUUUGACGGCAGCUAGCUAACUUGGGGCAUGAAAUGUUGCAUUGCACAUCGAAAGGUGGUUUUCUGCUUUUGAGAAGAAAAAACAAACAAUUUUUACGUAAAAGUAACCAAUAAUUUUUAAAAAUAAAAAAUAUUAUUUUAAUAUAUUUUUAAAUUAAAAAAUAUUUUUAAAAAUAAAUGUUAUAAUAAUAAUAUUACCACAAUAAUAAAUUGGCUAUUAAAAUAGAGAACCGUUAGAAUUAUUUAGAAUGAUUAGAAUGCAUGCAUAUAGCUCGGUCGCAUCUAAAAUCAAUUUUCAUGUAUUUUGAAUGUAAAAUGCAUGUUGUUGGUAUUAAAAAAUAAUAUAAAUCAUAUUUUAAAAUCUCAUUGAAUAGUUUAAAUCACCGAGUUAAAUUGGUUUUUUGCUAUUAUAUUAGAGUCUUGAUGACCAAACGGUCACGAAUUCAAAUCUCAUCAUCCUUGUUUAUUUAAUUAAACACAAGGUAAUGUAGUCUUAUGUAAAUUCAAGUUCAAAAUGCUUCUACUUGAUAGGAGUGUUAGAGAAUAAUAUAAAUCAUAUUUUGAGACUUCAUCUAAUAGUUUAAGCUAUUAAAUUAAAUGGAUUCUUUAUUAGUAAGAAGAAAUUAGUUUUAAAACGUAGUUAUUAUAUUUAAAUUUUAAUCAAAAAUUAAAUUAAUGAGUUAAGAUUUUGUUGAAAAAUAUUUUUUUUUUUUGCAUGAAUAUUAAUUAUAAUAUGAAAUAUUAAAAUACUUAAAAUUAAUUAUAGAUAAAUAAAAAAUUAAUUUCAAAGAAUUAUGAAUGAAUUGAUGGGAAAAAAAUCAUAUUGAUAAGAAAUUAUUGGUUUUAUCUUCUAGAAAUAUAUAUUGUUUUUUGAAUCUAACACAUACACCCAAAACCAGAGUUAAAAAAAUAGGCAGACUAGCGAUUCCAAAAUAAUGGUUGAAAUUUUCCAGAGCAAGAACUUUUCGCCAUGUAAAAGUUUUAUUAUGGAAACAAUCCUUCCAUCCGCAAACAUGGUUUAUCCUAAAUUAAAGAAGAAAAUCCAUACAUAAUAAAAUGUGAAUCUAAUUACCCCAAACCAAAACUAUGAGCAAAAACUGACGAAGCUCUUCAAGAUAAAGCAAGUUAAAUUCCUAACCAAAACCCAGGGAGAUGCUGCUGGAGCAGCUGUUGCCGUUGCUGCUGGAGCAGCUGCUGCCGUUGCUGCUGGAGCAGCUGCUGCCGUUGCUGCUGGAGCUCUUGCUGCCGCAGAUGCCGGAGCACCUGCCGCCGCACUUGCUGGAGCACCCGCUGCUGGAGCUUCUUCUGGAGUAGCUGCUCAUCGAGCUGCUGCCGCCGCCACUGCUGGAGCUUCUGCUGCUGAUCGAGCAUCAGCUUAUGCUUGAGCUGCAGCAGCUGCUCGAGGAGCAGCUGCUGCCGCAACUCAAGUAUAGUCAAACUGUACAUGAAAUCGAUGUUACAUGUUUUGUUGGGUGUUAAAAAAAAGAUUUAAUAAAACAUUUAUAAUUAGAUUUUUUUUCAACAUGUUUUGUAUUUAAAAAAAUUUAAGUGAUAAUAAAAAAAAAUGCAUAAAUAUAAUCAAAUAAAUCAAGAAUUAUAUAUGUUAAUAAAAAAAAACACAACUAUAAACUAUAAUAAAAAAUAAAAGUAGAAAAAUUGAGAAAUAAGUAUAGAUUAAAAUAUUUAAUUUUAAAAAAUGAGAUAUUUACGCUAUUAUAUUUACUAAAUUUAUUAAUUAAAACAAGUAUUUUAUUCAAUUAAACGAUAAUCAAAAUAGACAUACACAUUAAAUUUAUUGAAUAAAAUAAAAUGAAAAAAAUAAUAUGCAAGGCUGCAUAUAUUAAAAAUAUUAUUUAAAAAUAAAAAAUUUUAUUUUCAUAUGUACAAAAGAUUAAAAAAAUUAUAAAUGAAUCAGCAAAACUUUCUCAGAAAUUAAAUACAUAACUGAAAAAUAAAUAUUAUUUCAAAGAGGAUCUCUAAAUAACAUAAAAAAGAAAAAGAAAAGGGGAUGUUAAUCUAAAUAUAAAUUAAAAAAAACAUAUGAAAAGGAAAAAACAAGAAAAAAAAAGAAGAAGAAAAAGAAGAAGCAAAUGCCAGGUGUUGUUGGACUAGUAACUCAAGCCAAUCCAAUAGCCACAUUUUGUUAGGGCCAACGUUCAUUACCUUUUUUUUGUUGCAAGAUGUUUGUGAAAAAAAAUAAGAUGAUGCUUUUUUAUAGACCAGAUAUUUUUUUUUCUCUUACAAAAAAGUUGUGCAUGCAUGUUUUUUCAAUGAAAUUUUUUAUAUAAAAAAAUUUAAAUUGUAAAUUAAAAAGCUCAUACAUACAUAUAAUCAAAUAAAUUAAUAACUAUGUGAAUUAAUAAUAAUAAUAAUAAUAAUAAUAACAAUAAUAAUAACUAAAAAUAAAUUUAAAAAAUUCAAAUGUGUUAAUAAAACGAAGCAUUUACCCAGUUAUAUUUUUUGAAAUUAUUUAUUAAAAUUAAUCUUUUUAUUCAAUAAAAAAAUAUUAAAAAAUACACAUGUAUUAAAUUGAUUAAAUAAAAAAAAAUAAAAAAUAAAAUAUUAUGCAUGGUUGUUGUAUAUAUUAUGUUAUCUGAAAAUAAAUAUUUUUAUUUUUUAAAAUAAAGUUCUUUUAUAUAAAAGAUAAAAAAAAUUAUUGAUGAAUCAUAAUAAGCUUUUUAAAAAUUAAAUACGAACAACACUAUAAAAAACAAUAUCUAUCCAAAAAUAAAUAAAUAAACAAAAAAAAAUCACAGAUGAGGAAUAUUAAUUGAAACAUAAAUUUAAAAAAUAUUUUAAAAAAGAUAUGUAAAAAUAUAUCAAUAAAAAAAGCAAUAUCAGGAAAAUAAAAAUAUUGUUCUGUUGUUGUGGCUUAACUCAUUAAAUCCGUGACCCGGAGCAUGAACUCAACCGGGUUCAAUAUUGCUUUCCGUUUAAAUUUGUAUUCAACCUUUAACAAAAAUGAAAUUAAACAUGUGACCCAGACCAUGAACUCAACCAGACUCUCUAUUGUUUUCUCUUAAAUUUAUAUUCAACCUUUAAAAACAAAUACAUACAACACCAUCAAAAAACAAUUUAUAUUAAAAAAAAGGUUAAAUAAACAAAACAAAUCACAGAUGAGUGAUAUUAAUUGAAACAUAAAUUGAAAAUUAUCUAAAAAAGGAUAUAUAUAAAAAGAUAUUAGUAAAAAAAAAAAGCAACAUUAGAAAAAAAAAAAAUUGUCCGGUUAUUAUGGCUUAACUCGUUAAACUCGUAACUCAGUUCAUAAACUCAACCCGGUUCAAUAUUUUUUUCCUUAAACCUUAAAAAAAAUUAAAUAUGUGACCCGGACCAUGAAUUCAACGAGGUUCAUUAAUUUUUUUCUUUUAAAUUUAUAUUCAACUUUAAAAAAAAUUAAAAUUUAAAAUACACAACACCAUAAAAAAAAUCAAUCUUUAUAAAAACACCUCAAUCGAGUUGAACUUUUUUUUCUUAAAUUUAUACUCAACCUUUAAGAAAAACUUGUGGCAUGGAUUAUUCACUCAAUCAGUUCAAUAUUUUUCUUUCUUUGAAUUUAUAACAAAUCUAAAAAAAAUAAAGUAAACAAUAUCUUCCAUAGUAAAGCAUGUCGGUUUAAUCCAGACUAUAAAAUUAACUAAGUUUAAUAUUAAUUUUUUUAAAAUUCAUAAUCUACCUUGAGGAAAAAAAAAAAACUUGUAACCCCAUUGUGUACUACAUGCACGGUGUUUUUCCUAUGAAAAAAAAAGAAGAUUUUUUAACAUUAAGUUUUGAAAGUUGAUAUUUUGGCAUUCCUAGUUUCAUUUACUUGAAGUGGUUGAUAAGUCGAGUUACACACACAAAAAAGAAGAAGUAAUUAUUACCUUUUCGAUCCAGAUGAAAUCUCAACUUCACUGAGAAUAUCCAUCCAUCUUUGUACCUUCUCCUCGUUUUCCUUGAGAUUUUUUCCAAUCUUAUCAAAGACAAUUGUGUAACUCUCUCUUUGAUAAUCUAUCUUUGAUUCUUCAACAUCACAAGAAACUGGAAACACAGUGUCCGAUCUCAUCUCAUCCAUGAAUCCUACAAUCUUGACAAGUUCUUCAAAGCACCAAGGUAAAGAAGCACAAUCUCUUGCAAAUAUAAUAAUUGACAGCCCUGAUUCUUCAAUGGCCUCAAAGAGUCUUGAUCUAAUUGCCAUUACUUUCUCUGGUUCCUUCCUGAAGGGGAAAAUUAAUCUCUGGGCUCGAUCUGCGGCUCUGAUGCCAAGGAAAACAUUGGCCUUCCAUUGAUGGUACGACGAAGAAAAAGCUAAAUAAGCUUUAAAUGAAGAAGCUGCUUCUUUGCUUGUAACAAUAAAAUGGGCAGAAGAUGGUCGUCGUGUGAUAUAUAUAGAAGAUAACAAACAGACACCACAAUUUUUCACCUUUACUCCUGGCUGGAAAGAAUGAAAUGACAACUCAAUGUUGCUAAAGGAUUCAUGCUUCCAUUCUUUAAGCUCUUUAAGAUGAUCAAAAGAUAGAUAGAAAAGCCAAAUAUGAUCUGAUAGAACUUGGAUAGAGUUACAACUAAUACACAUUGGCAAAGGAUAAUUCUCUCUUCCAUUGGCUUUGAAAUGACAAAAAAGAGAAGUACUUUCAUCAUUUGCACUGAAUGCAACACACGCAGCAAACCCCAUGCUCCAACUAGGUACUUGCACACUAAUUAAAGAUCCCUUACUUUGAUGGUUAAACCAACCUGGAAUUUCAUUUCCUGGAACAACGAUACCAAAUCCAGGUCUUGGAUUAGACAAACCUUGUACCAUGAAAAACAAAAAUAUUAGAUAGAUAGAGGGAGAGGGAGAGAGAUACAAAAAGGUUGGGGUAUGAUUAAGAGAAGACCUUGAGGUAUCUUUCAAGCAUGGUCAACCCCAUGUUGUCUUGGCCAUUAUGAUUAUACAAUUCCCAGCAAUUAAGACACGUGAACUCUGAGAUUUUGGAACUCCAUAGCUUUAUCGGAUCUGGAAUUGUUUUUAGGCUUAUACAACCAUUCAAAUAUACCGUUUGAACUUUAGAUGGAACCUGAGGCAAUGAUUCAAGCAUCGUGCAAUCCUCCAAGACAAGCGUUUCCAGUUUAUAAAGCAGAUUUAUGCUCCUAGGCAGGCUAACAAAGUUAUUCUGGCUCAGAUAUAAAGACCUCAAUGAAGAUAAGUAGCCAAUAUCUUCAGGAAGUGCCCCUUCUCUUAGAUUGCAAGCCCGUAAACGCAGUACUUCUAAAGAACACAGAUCAAACAAAGAAGGCAGCACAACUAGUCUUUUGAAUCCAUCCAAAGAUAAUACUUUAAGAUUCUUUAAAAGAAAAAGGGAUGCUGGCAGUUGUUUUAUUGAAGUUCCACUUACAUCAAACUCUUCCAAACUUUCAACUUUCCCCAAAUUCUGUGGUAUAUUUUGAAGUUUAGAGCAGCCAGAGAGAUCGAGUUUUUUAAGGGAUUUCAAACAAGGUAUGCUACUCGGAAUGCUUUCUAAUUUUUUGCAGUUGUUCAUGCUCAAUACUUCUAAGCCAAUCAAAUGACGAAUUGAUGAAGAUAGUUUUGUAAUACCAGUCUCAUCCAAAUGAAGCACCAUCAAUUUGUUCAUGUUUCCUACUUCUCAAGUUUUGAGCAUCCAUCAAGAAUGCAAACUUUAAGUGAUUCCAUUUCAAGGUUGCUAGGGAGAAUCCUAAUACUUUCGCAAUCCAUAAGAUUCACAUAUUGAAGCUUCUUGUGACGUGCAAGUGAUGCAUGGACCUCAAACAAACUUGUACAACCUUCAAGAAUUAGGUUCUCAAGAUUCGAAAUUCCUGUAAAAUCUGGAGUCUUGAUCAGGUUUAGUGAGUUGCUAAGAUUGAUGAUUUUCAAAUUAACUGCACUCUGCAAUCAGGCAGAGGAGAACAAAUAUGGAUGCUACUAUCAUAAAUAUAUAGGAAAAUGAUAAAAAGAAAUACAAAGGUCCUUAAAUUAGGUGAUCUCACCUUACACCCAUACCAUAAUUGCUCAAUGCUACUGUUAGCCAUGUGAAGUUCAACUAGCUCAUCCACCUGUAAACUAGCUGGCAAUGAUUUUGAAGGGUAAGAAUGCCAUUCAAGAAAUCGUAGCUUAUUGGAAAGAUCUUCAGGUCCUUCAGAAAGCUGCACGUUGUCGAUUUUGAGCAAUCUUAGUUUGCUCAUUUUAGAGAAGGCUUUCAUGUUCCAUUGUGCCUCUUUUAUUGCAGGCAUGUCCAGGAAAAUGGCUUCUAUUUUUUCUUUUCCCUGUCAACCAAAAGGUAAUACAAGUAAAAAACAAUUACAAAGUAGAGAUAUACUUUAAAAUAUACUUUAUGAAAUCUUAUGGAUUAUGUUCUCUAUCAGCAGUACUCACUGUGUUGUCCAUCAUGUCGCACCCCAAAAAAUAAUACAAAAUUUUUUUUUUUUUUUUUUCGACAUUCGACUGGCGACUUUCGUUUUGUUCUGUUUUUGUUGAUUUGGUUCUUUGGAGUCGCCACCUAGUAUUUUGGUUCACUAGGAACCCUAACUGGUCUUUCAGAGAUUCUAAGGCAAGGGACUGGUUGCGUAAAGGGAAGGUAUUAGCACCCCUAGUACGCCCUACCUAAGGUAAGCUGCUUGGUGUUUUGGUUUGCUCUAUAAUUGCUAUGGUGUUGGUAUUUUCUAGGCUCGUCAAUUGAUUUUGGAUAGAAAUCUAAGGAGAUUCCAUGUGCUUUGAAAGCUCAUUUUUCCCUUAGUAUUUCAAGAGUUUGCGACUCAUAAAUCGUGGAAAAAAAAAUUAAAAUUUUAAAUGUCCUCGAUUAUAAUCAAGGCUUCUUUCAAGAAUGUGUGCGGAUUUAUUACUCCCAAUAAUAUUUUGGAUAUUCAUCCUUUUAAGGAUUUCUUUAUCCAAACAUUAGCGGUGAAUAAUAAAUAAAUUUCUCCCCAAAAUAAGAUUUUUAUAGUUUUUGGAAUAUUGGCCAAUACCCUUUGGAGUUUUACAAACAUGUUGUAAAAUCCAAAAUGCAAGAAAAUAAUUUGUGUUUAAGAAAUCUAUGCGAAAACACACUUUCGAAGCUUCCAAUAUAUUUUUUUUAUAAAAAGAAUAUUCAAAACAUGUUAGAGUAUUGGCCGUAUGCAACACGCAAGAAACAUUUUUUUUUGUAAAAAUAUUUUUUUUUUGACGAAAUCGGGUAUUUUAAUACUGAAUUUGUAUCUCCACAACAUAAAAAUACAAACUAAUAUUAAGUCAUAAAAAAAUAUGCGGAAAAAUCCAAAUAUUUUUAAGGAAUUUUAGAAAUUUUUGAAAGCAAAAAAAAAAUUUAUUUGAAAAUCUUGGAUGUCUCGACGAAAACCGGGUAUUUUAAACACUGAAUUUGUAUCUCCACAGUAAUAAAAAUACAAACCAAAUGUAUAAAACAAAAUAUAUUUAUAUGAAAAGAAAUAACAACAAUUUUUUUAGAUUUUUUCAAAAAAAAAAAAAACAUAUAUAUAUAUAUACACACAUAUAAUAAUAAUAAUAUAAUAUAAUUAUAAUAUAUUUAUAUAUUAAAAGGGGAUGGGCCGGACCCAGCCCAAAAGUCGUUGGGCCGAUCUCGGCCCAACAAACUAAUUAAACUCGGUCUGGGCCGGACCCGGCCCAGACCGCCGGAUUGGGCCAGAUCACUCUGGCCCGGCCCACAUAGUUUGGGCCAGACACCAUCUGGCCCAGAGGAAUUAAAAAAAAAACGGGGGGGGGAUUAUUUUCCCCCCCGUCCCCUGCAUGCAGAACGACUCUGCAUGCAGGAGACAAAAUUUAUAAAUAACAAGCAACAAUGUGCAGGGGGGGGUGAAGCGUACCUGGCACGGUGGAGACGGUGGCUUGCUGGCGGUGCUGCUGUGGAGGCGGUGGCGGCGUCCUAGCUCACGGCGGCUCCUCACGGCGAUUUCCAAAGCAAAUCCGGUGAAGUCCUCUCGGUUUGUUUUCUGUAUUUUUGUUUUCUAAAUUUCCUCCUGGUUUCAAACUUUCUCUCUUCUCUUGUUUUUUUUUAGUUUUCGUUGGCUCUCUCUCUCCGGGUGGGUGUUUCUCUCUCUUCCUCUCUCUCUUCGGUUUUUCUUAGUUUUCUUCGGGUUCCUCUUCUGUUCUCUUUUUUUCGUCCUUCCUGUUCUCCCUUUCGGUUCUCUAUUUAUAGAACCAUGGCGUGACUUCAACGUGGAGCCCCGGAGCGGGUCGAGGAGAGGCUGUCGGGGAGCGGCGGGCCUCCCUCGGCUUCGGCACGAGGCGGGUGUCGGCCAUUGUUUCUGUCGGUGGCCCACCGGCGUGGGGCCUCGGUCGGUGGCAAGAGGGACCUGCAAAAAAAAUAAAAAAUACAAACUUUUCCUUCUUCCCCGCUGUAAUGUUCGGGGGAAGAAGAAGUGAACAGUGCCGUUCAAAACGGCACCGUUCGGUCUCUCUUUUUUUUUUUUUUAUGCAUGAAACGGCGUCGUUUUGGACAAAACGCGCCGUUUCAUUUUAAAAUAAAGGCGCCAGAAACUUUGUUUUUAAUCAGUCCUAAUUUGUCAUUUGUUCUAUUAAGUCCUUCAAUCGAGUCCUUCAAUCAAGAAUAAAAUUCAAUUGCGUCCCUGCCAAAUUCGGUCCCUACCCCUAUAGUUGGCCGCGUUUUUCACUUUGGUCCUUGGCCUCUGAUUUUCACAAUUAAGCCCCUAAUUGAUCAAUAAACUUCCAAUUUCUUCAAUUAAGCCCCUGAAACAAUUCCAAACAGCCCCCUCUAUCUUUGCGCCUUCUCCAAAUUGGUCCCUGGUUUCGGAUUUUCACAAUUAAGUCCCUAAUUGGCCAUUAAACUUCAAUAUUUAUGCAAUUAAGCCCCUGAUUUGACCCAAUAAAUUCCUAAAAAAUAUAUUUUGGCCCCAGAACUUAAAUUUCUUCAAAUUAAAGCCCAAAUUGACUUAAAAAUCAAUUUUUCUUGCAAUCAAAUCUUCUAUAAAUUCAAAUAAAAAUCCAAUUAAGUCCAUAAACAUCCAAAUUUGGGCUUUUCUCCUCAAAAUUCAAAUUUUCCUUCUCAAUAGGGCUUUCAUCCUUCAAGAAUAUACUGUAAAAAAUUCAAUCCUUGUAUUUUUAAAUUCCUUGACCAAUUUUCUGACUGUUUCCUGAGCGCUUCUGCCUCCUGUUAUUUUUUCUAAACUCUUUUGGCUAUUUAUUUUAUUUUUUAUGGGGACCCAAAAAUGGGUUACAACACAUCAGUGCAAGGCAGACAUCCUCGUAUGUCCACAAUCUACUGCGCUUUCCAGGCUUUUCAGGGUAUUCACAACGGACAAUUCCUUACCCAUUAUCUGUAACAAAUUAUGCAUCCAGACUUGAUCCCGAGAGACACUUAUGAGAGAUCUCUCAAUAAGAACAGGUAUUCCAAUACCUGCAUGGAAUCCACGACUUUCAAGUAUCCUUGUUAUUCGAUCAAUUUUAAACCCCAUCAGGAAACAUGCAAUGUCUAAAAAUAUUUUCUUAUCUGAUUCAUGGAGACCAUCAAAACUAAUGCGAAGCACGUCAAUAAUUUUGCCGUCAGGAAUCUCAUUCAUUCUAUUAAUUGCACCUCUCCAUUCAGGGAUACUUCUUGCAUACAAAAACGAACCUAUAACUUCAAUAGCUAGUGGAAGGCCAUUAGCAUAACUCACAACUUGCUUUGAUAGUUCCACAAAAUCUUCAGCAGGCUGGUCAUUUUUGAAAGCUUUCUGGCUAAAUAACAUAAGAGCAUCAUCAUCAUUCAAUUUUUCAGCCUCAUAAGUUUUAGUAUCAUAAUUUCUAGUAAACACAUUUGUAUCUCUGCUUGUUAUGAUAAUUCUGCUCCCUGGACCAAACCAUCCAGGCUCCGCAGCCAAGAAUUCUAGUUGUUUUUUGUCAUCUACAUCAUCAAGGAUAAGAAGAAUCUUUUUAAGUCGUAACCUCCGCUUU